UGGCGGAUAUCAGGCAGGUAUUUGAAAACCAGCUAGGUGUAACUUGUUGUUAUUUAAACUAGCAUCAUUUUUUUUUAACAAUCACAGGAUCGAGGAGCGUCUGCCGACAUGGUUAAACAGCGGGGGAAAGCAACAAAACCCUUUGACACAAAUCACACUUCCGCUUCAGUGGCGAGAAAAUCGAAACCAGCGCGUCGAACAGAAGAAGGUCUGAGAGCCAGAAAGGAGAGCGACCGUCUGCGAGUGAAAACGAGGAUAAACAUCUCUUACAGCUUCACGAGGUGGAGGAGAUUCAAAGAGGAAAAGAAACUACGAACCGACGCAGACGUCGCGAACUAUCUCUUGAACUUUUUUGAGGAGAUUGAAGUCACCAUCGACGACGAUGAAUGCAACAGUGUGAAGAGCCGACUUAUCUUUGUUUUUAUCUAACAGAUCUGACCUUGACAGUGACCUCGAACACGCUCCAGGAGCUAUUGACAACUGUGAUGAAGACGUCCACGUACCAAUAAUUCCUCAGAGCUCCACAACCUCCGAGCUUUUACUGGAAUGUGAAGAAGAAGAGUUGGAGCCAUGGCAGCAACACACUUUACUUGUUCACCUGAAAAAGGAAGAAGAGGCUCGAGAGUUGAGUGAUGAUCAAACUGACUGUAAGCCAGAUUCUUCUUCCCUUCACACCUGGUUAGCUUGUCAGCAUUUGGCCUUUGGUGUUGUCCCCACUUUUGAGGUGCAUAAAAUCAGCAAAAACGCUGGUUUCUUAUCUUGUGUCCAGAGUUCCAAAGUACAUGCAACAUCCUCUAACCAGCUGCAUUCAGAGGCGUCCAACUCAUAGUUAUCUGGACCGUUUUCUCUGUCGUGCUUUACCGUACUUAAACUUGAGUCAACUGGCAGAUCCAACAAACAAUAGAUAAUUCGCUAUUAUGUUGCAACAAACUAAUGAUUGAGUUCAAGUGUUGUAAAUAUAAUCUGUCAUGUACAAUGUGCAAUAGCAUAUCUUGCAGAUUAUUUGCACAUACAAGUGUCUCAAUUGGCAACUGUGUAGGAGGCCCUAGACACACAGCACCUCACUCCAAUUAAAAAAAUACUCCAAUUAGUUAAACCUUUCGGUUACAGCAUGUCGGUUACAUUCCAAAUAAGAGGUACAGAUUUUAUUGUAAUAUUGUGUACAGUCAAAUAAAUUAUUAAAUCAAAACCCAUGUUCACAUAUUUCAUUUCUUUGUUAUUCAAAUGUACAGUCUGGGAUUUAUACUUUCUCUAUG